CCUUCGAUGAGCUUGAGUCUGAUCCAGGCCAUGGAGGAAAACUAUGAGGUGGACCUGGUCUACAUCACAGAGCGCAUCAUUUCUGUGAGCUUCCCCAGUAAUGUAGAAGAGCCAAGCUACAGCGCUAACAUAAAGGAGGUCGCCACCAUGCUACGCUCCAAACAUGGUGACAACUACUUGCUCUUCAACCUCAGUGAAAAGCGAUUUGAUAUCUCCAAGCUGAAUCCCAAAGUGCUGGAUUUUGGCUGGCCGGACCAUCACGCUCCAGCCCUGGAUAAGAUCUGCAGCAUCUGCAAAGCCAUGGACACUUGGAUGAACGCUGACAGUCACAAUGUGGUGGUCUUACACAAUAAGGGAAACCGAGGUCGAACGGGGGUAGUUGUGGCUGCAUACAUGCAUUACAGCAACAUAUCAGCGAGUGCAGACCAGGCUCUGGACAGGUUUGCCAUGAAGCGGUUUUAUGAAGAUAAAGUGCUUCCUGUGGGUCAGCCCUCUUCCUGUGGGUAUGUGCAGUACUUCAGUGGUCUGCUCUCCGGCCAUAUCAAGAUCAACAACAAGCCCCUGUUCCUGCACCACGUCAUCAUGCACGGGAUCCCAAACUUCGAGUCCAAAGGAGGUUGCCGCCCUUUCCUCAAGAUCUACCAGGCUAUGCAAUUUCCUGAAUAUGGAAAAGUGGAAUUUGUCUUUUCUUUCGGCCCAGAAAAAAUCCAAGGAAUGGACCACCUUGAGAACGGGCCCAGUGUUUCUGUGGACUACAAUACCCAAGAUCCUCUGAUUCGCUGGGAUUCUUACGAGAACUUCAACCAGCACUGUGAAGAUUCAGAGGAGGACGUUAUUCACACACAAGGUCCAUUGGAUGGUAGUCUCUACGCUAAGGUUCGGAAGAAAGAGUCUCUUGAGGGAGGGGUCACAACCAAUGGUCUCCCAGCCAGUGUCGAUCACACUUUACCUGCUGUAGACCACACUCUACCACCAGUCGACCACGCCCUGUCUGUAAGCAGUGACUCGGGCAACUCCACUGCUUCCAUCAAAACCGACCGCACGGAUGAAGCCAGCCAUCAGCCGGCCUUAGUGAUGAGUCAGCCGUCCUCCCAGCCCCUCAGCCCAGAGGAAAAACAGGAGCUGGACCAGUUGCUCAGUGGCUUGGAAGCACCAAUGCAACGCACAGGUUACCAAAGCAGCCCUGGCAGCGGAGGCGGUGGAGUCCUACACCUCGUCCCCGCCCAGGUUCAUGUCAAUGGACACAACAACAUAGACCGUGAGACAGAUAUCCUUGAUGAUGACCUGCCCAACAGUCAGGAAGGGAACAGUGCGGACAGUCUCGGGACCAUCUCGUCUUUUGAGGGCAGAGCCACUCCAGCAGAUCUGUACUACCAGCCAGAGACGGUCAUUAAUGGAAAAGAUGCACAAGAUGACUUAGAGAAGGGUGUCCACAAGAAAAUACCAGAGCCCAAAGUCCAAAGCUCCUCAUCUGUUCAAGAGCUCUUAGGGUCCUCUAGUGGCUUUGCCAACCAGAAUGGCAACAUCUGCCGAUCUCAAUCAUUAGGGGCAGCCCCGACCACAGAGCAGAAGUACAUGCCCAAAGCUCCCACACGCACGAUUAGCAGUAGGGAUGCAGUGCAAAGGGGACUGAAUGUGUGGCAACAAUAUGGUGUUCCUGAGGUCCCAGUCACAGAUGGGGUCACCUUCAACCCUGUACUACAGUCCCACAGUCUUCCAGAGUUUCCUCACAUGGCAUCUCAGCAAGAAAUUGAGCAGUCCAUUGAAGCACUUAACAUGCUGAUGCUGGACCUUGACCCAGCACUUACACAAGUCCCCAAGUCCCAUAGUGCCCCAUCUGGAGAUGGUGGAGUGGUCACCACUCAACCAUCAAACCCAUUAUCACAAACCCAAGCACGGCCGUCCUACCAAUCUGACACAGCCAUUCAUGGCCGUGGUGGAGUCUCUUGGGGGGGAUACCCUUCGACCUUUCAACAGGUAGCCGCAGAGCCUCCACAACCCACCAUGAACCAGCAGAGACCCACAGCCAUAUCCCAGCAUGCUGCAUUCCCUUCUGAGGCAGAAGGUUGGGCUCCAAUGUCCCAGUCCACAGUGCCUUCCACCGCCUUUGGAGUUCUCCAUUUGAAACCCCUCAACAUUUACCCCUCAAGUUCCACGUCCCAGUCCCCUGAGCCCCAGGAGAGUCAGCGUAGCUAUUCUGCCUCCUCAUCCCCUCUACCUAAAGAGUCUGAACCGGAAGAUGCCAACUACAAACUGGGUGGUCUUGUAGCUCACCGUGUAGCUGGAGUUCAGUCUGGUGAAAUGUCACCAGAUGAGACUUCAGUUCCUGGACGGUGCCGGACCAUCAGUGAGGACCUUUCCCAAGAUGAAAGCCCAACCCGAGGAAGCUCAGUCCGCUCCCCCAUCCGCUGCAUUUCACCCGAGUUGGCCAAUACGAUUGCUUUGAACCCUGGGGGGCGGCCCAAGGAGAGACACAUGCAUAGCUACAGAGAAGCGUUUGAGGAAAUGGAUGGGGGUCCCGUCAGCCCCCCUCCGAUCGCUAGUGGUGAGGCCCUACCCCAAACCCCUGCCUUCCCUGUCUCGCCACAAACCCCUUACUUCAACCUGAGUCGAUCUCCACCAGGACUGGCCAAAACACCACUGUCCUUCCUGGGCUUGAAACCCCACAACCCUGCUGAGAUACUGCUCAACCAGACAGGUUCAGAGCCUCGUAGCUAUGUGGAGUCUGUGGCCAAAGCAGCUGCAGGUGGGCUGCCAGCGUCGCCUGUGUCUCCAACAUAUGACAGCAACAGCUUUGCACGUCCUGUCGGGCCGUCCCAUGCCUACAACGCUCCUCUUUCCUCCAGCAGCCCUAUUCAGAGCCCAGAUGCAGUUGAAAGCACAUUGACUGACAGCGGGGUUGGGUUGAAUUCUUUGUCCCAGGCUGCUGUCGACUCUAUCCUUCACUCCCAGCCCUCCGAAAGCACAUACCAAACACCUACACCCUCUUACCCCACCUCUAGCAGCAUGUUGGGUGGCUACAUCACUCCUGAUAUCAGCCCCUCUCUGCCAGAGACCAUGCAAAAUAACGCCACCACCAUCCAGCCACUCGCCGGAAGCCCUGGCACAAGACACCAAGCCGUCCUGCCCGACAUGAUGUCCGCUCCCGGUCUCCAGCACAGAAUACCUAAUCAGGAUGUCCCCAUUCUGGCCCAACAACCAACCCCGGCCAAUGGUCAUCUGCCUGGAAUGGCCGGUAGUCCCAUGCAAGGAAGACAUGCAAUGGUGUCUCAAGGAACGCAGAGCAGUCCGAUGCUGUCCAGACAGUAUCCUGUCACCUAUGGGACUCAGAGUAGUCCGAUUCUCAGCAGACAACCUAUGGGACAAGCCGUCCAGAGCAGCCCCGUCCUCAACCAACAGGUGUCCCUAAAUCAACCAAUCAUUCUGCCUAACCAAAGCAGCCCGGUGUUGAGUAGACAGCCAUCCGUUAGCCAACCCAACCAGGGCAGCCCCGUCCUGAGCAGGCAAUCCCCACUUACACAUCCCAGUCAGGGCAGCCCCGUUCUGGGAUGCCAUCCGUCCCUAAUGCAGGGUAGCCCCAGUCUGGACAGGCACCCAAUGUACAGUGGUUACACUACUCCAGAAGAGCGACACGGAGCCCUUUCGCGCCAGAGCAGCUCCUCUGGAUACCAGCCACCAUCUACACCUUCUUUCCCAGUCUCUCCGGCUGGAUACAUAGAUGGAGUGGGAUUCAGACAGGGCAGUCCUGCCCCCCAACCUCAGCUCCCCGAAAAGAGACGUAUGUCCAGCAGCGAUCGCUCUACUGGUGGACUGUCCUACGGAACGCUCAACGGGAAGAUGUCCUCGCCAGUGUCCAGUGGUGGCAGCACUCCAAGCGCUCAUUUCUUCCACACGCUCCCUGAUUUCUCCAAACUCAACAUGUGCGAAGGAAGUCCAGAGACCAGUCUGCACGUGAAGUUUGUCCAGGACACGUCCAAAUUCUGGUAUAAACCAGAUAUCUCCAGAGACCAAGCCAUCAACAUGCUGAAAGAUCAAGAGCCUGGAGCCUUUGUCAUUCGGGACAGUCAUUCAUUCAGAGGGGCCUACGGCUUGGCCAUGAAAGUUGCCUCACCACCUCCGACUGUGCAACCUACAAAGAAAGCUGGAGAUGUCACUAAUGAGCUGGUGAGACAUUUCCUGAUUGAGACGAGUCCGAAAGGCGUGAGACUGAAGGGCUGCCCUAACGAGCUGUACUUUGGCUGCCUGUCUGCACUGGUCUACCAGCACUCAAUCACUCCACUGGCUCUACCCUGCAAACUAGUCAUACCAACCAGAGAUCCUCUAGAGGACUCUCCUGUGAUCGCAACACCAACUAACCCAGCGGCAGAGAUGCUCAAACAGGGUGCAGCAUGCAAUGUCCUGUACAUAAACUCGGUGGAUAUGGAGUCUCUGACUGGGCCUCAGGCCAUCGCCAAGGCCAUCUCAGAAACCAUGGUAGCCAGUCCCGCACCUUCAGCCACUAUUGUUCACUUUAAGGUGUCGGCACAAGGCAUCACUCUCACUGACAACCAGAGAAAGCUUUUCUUCAGACGUCAUUAUCCCAUCAGUACGGUCACGUUCUCAAACCCUGAAACAUUAUAUUUUUUUCUUCUUCACAGGUUCUUUGGUUUUGUGGCCAGAAAGCAAGGCAGCACGACAGACAACGUCAGUCACCUGUUCGCCGAGAUGGAUCCCAAUCAACCGGCCACGGCCAUCGUCAGCUUUGUCUCUAAAGUGAUGACCAACUCUCAGAAGCAGUGA
rnacentral:lncRNA from 1 species